rnacentral:lncRNA from 1 species
AACGUUCGACGAAGACGUCAUCUCGACCAUCCACGUGUCCCGAUGAAGGACAGGAAAUCCGGCUAACCGCUUUGCAUCCGUCCAUCUUGUCGUCUGCGGAGGCUCCACUCAUCCUCUCUUUCUCCUCUCUCUCUCUCUCUCUGUGUCUCGAUCCGGGGAGGAAGAACCCUAACCCUAGCCAUGCCCAUCUGUGUUACGCUCUCUCCCUUUCUCCAAAGCCCACGAGAGAUCCGAGACAAAGAACCCUAACCGUAGCGAUGGCCUUUUGCCUCCGAGCUCCUCCCUCAUCGCCCUUCUAGUACUUAUCUUCUAGCCGUCCCGCAAUGCAAACGGCCUCUGCCGUCUAGCUUCGAACUUCCUGUUGGGAACUCGGGGAGGCUUCGCCAAAUGGAAUCAAAAAAAUCGAGUAAGCUCAGUCUUCCCCCCAUUUUGUUCCUCUGUUUUUUCCCAAACAAUGUCAUGCAAAAUAUGGUAAUUUUUGAACUAUUUUAGGACCAAUAUAUUCGAUUAAGUAAAGAAGUAAGCGUCACUCGAAUCAAGUAUGUUCUUUGACAUGGAUUCCUGCUUUAGUUGCACUUCUCUUCGGUUUUACUUCUCCAUCUCAUUCUAGAUGAUGAAUUCUUAUGUUGCUGUGAUCUGCAAGGAACUAUUAGUAGACAAUAUGAUAGUAUAUGAUCUUCAUGUUCUCGUGUUCCUCAUUUUCAGAAGUCAAAUUUACAUUAUCAGUAAUCCUAGUUCUAUUUGCAAGAAAUUGAUGGUCAUUAGACAGAUUCAAUCAAGCCAAUAAUUCAAACCUAAUCUAAAAUUUAAAGUAUAGGCCAGACAAAUCUCUAUGCCUUGAUCAUACAGUUAUCAAAGAAAAUAAUCUGGUGGCAAAACCUUGAGUGGAUAGAUUGGUGACCGACAUUGUUAAAAGGAUGAAUCCAUUACACGAGACUACUAUUAAUAUGCCAUUACUUUGUUUUCUAGACUUGAACAAUGGUCUGUUGGUGUUAUGAAGAAUAUGAUUUUGUAGAGAUUGUCUGUUGGUGUUAAUCAGGUUUCAUCUCUCAAGUUCCAAUUGAAUAAUUUGAAUGAUAUGGUUGAUAAAUGUGAAGAUCUCUUUAUGAGCAACCAAACUAUUUUAGAUAGAGACAUGGACCAAUUUUCAUAGGGUUAUAUUGAAGAAAUAAUUCACAGCUACUACUUAGGUAACAUUUUUAGUUUUCAUGAGAAGAAUAUUUCACAUUGUUACUCUAAAAUCGAUAACUUUCUCAGCACUGGAUUUGUAUGAUCAAAAAUUUAAUUAUCUUAUCUUGUUAUAUGACAAACAAUUUAACUUAAUGAUACCUUCAUUCAAAUGUGAGAGUGCUUAAACUGGAUCGGGAAUAGUUUAACCAGUUUCCGAAAAGAUUCAGAUAGAAAAGUAGGUACUUGAUUUAUGUCUGAAUUCAGGCAUAAUUUGUAACCAACCUUUUUAUCAUCGACUCAUUGUCACCAUAAGGUUUAAAUCUAACAUCUGAUUGAUAAUGAAUAAUUGCGGCUAUUCCACCAUAAGUCUAUAAAACUUUCCAUGUUCAUAUAAAACAGGGUGAGGUAAAACUACAAAGCCUGUCCCUCUUACAUGUAUGAACAUAUAUUUGACGUUCUAUAGAACCUUGCUUCACAUCCUUCCAACCUGAAGGCUGUUAAACUCAGGUUUUCUGUUUAUUUCAUUCAUAAAUAUUUCAUUGUUGAUUUCUAUAUUUAUCUGAGUAAAUAAAUUGUUGGAACAACUUGUUGGACUUCAUAUUUCAUAAUUAUUUCUUAUUUCAUAUUCAUAUUCAUAUUUAUCUAUAUUUCAUAAUUAUUUCUGGACUUCUUACAACUUGUUGGAACAACUGAAAAUGUUUCAUACAUGUUGUAUAUGUGCUCUCAUAUCCUACCUGGCAAGAAGAAUCACCAGAUGCUUAUUAGAGGUGAACCAACCAUAUGAUAAAGAAUUUAAUUAUCUUAUCCGUUUAGAUAACAAAUAAUUUAACUUAAUGAUUACCUUCAUUCAAAUGCGAGAGUUCUUCUCGCAAAAGAAAAAAGAAAAAAGUGAGAGUUCUUCUUGGGUAUUUGGGUCUACCCAAAAUCUGCUUAAACAGGGAUCGGGAAUAGGUUAACCAGUUUCCAAAAGGAUUCAGGUACAUAAGUAGGUACUUGAAUUAUGUUUGAAUUCAGGCAUAAUUUGCAACCAACCUUUUUUAUCAUCGACUUAUUGUCACCAUCAGGCUUAAAUCAAACACCUGAUUGCUAAUGAAUAAUUGGAGCUAUUCCACCAUAAGUGUAUAGAACUUUCCAUGUUCAUAUAAAACAGGGUGAAGUAUAACUACAGAGUCUGUUCCUGUUACUUUCUGUAAAUCUUUUGCUUCACAUCCUUACAACUUGAAGACUGUUAAACUCAGGUUUUAAUGUACUCGUAUUAUUCCUGAACUUGUUACAACUUGUUGGUAAUGAGAGAGGAUAACAUCGAGAGAGAAGAUGAUGACGACCAAAGAAAAGAAAGAGACUUGAACGCCAAAGAGAGAGCUGUGCCAAAAGUGGGAGAGUGGAAGACGAUAUAAAAGGGGACGACAACAAGAGGAUGAUGGGGUAACAAAUGAAAGAUUAGUCCAAUCCAAUUAUUGAUAACUAUAAUUCAAAAAUAUUCCUCUAACAUUUCAUGAGGAUAAUUUCAUUGAGUUGCAGUACAUUUAAUGAGUAUUUUUUUUAUAUAUAUUUCAUGCCACAUAAUGCUUGUUUCUAGCUCUUGUCAUCCAAUGACCCAACUUAGCCUAGAUAAUCUUCAAUCUUGGAUAUAAAAUCUAACAAAUCAUAAAACAUAAAUCACAUGUUUUGCCCCAAGAUGAGACCAAGUCAACCUCAACUCUGACAUCUACAUGUCAGAGUUAUCUCCCAGGAGGGGUUUUUUUUUUUUUUUUUUGUUAGUACCUAAAUAACAUUAUCCUAAUCAAAUUGAUCGGACAACCCAUUGCAUGAGCAGGAGUUCCAAACCCUUGUAAAAUUUUGGAGAUGCAGAUGCAUGCACACCCACCUGGGUUUGUGACUGCCAGUUCCUCCUCACAAAUUUUAGCUCUCAGUUUACCAUCACAUGCAGUGGACGCAAGAGACAAAGGAGUAGAAUGGGGCAUUCAUCAUGUCCAUCCACCAACCAAACUGCCCUAAGUGCAACUCACAAAGAAGACAAGUCGAAGCUUCUGUAUCACGUCCAUCACCUCUUUGAACAUGGAGGUUUUGUACCUUCAUAUAUAAACACACACACACACACACACACACACACACACCCCCCUUUAUCUUGUUAGGGUUUCUGAAGCGACUGCAUGCAUUGGUUUACCUGCAGUGGAAUCAAUGGAGGAGGCUGAGAGUUUCCAAGGGCUUGACGGCUUGGAGCUUCUGAGGAGGAGGAGGAGGAGGAGGCAAUGAGUGCACGUACUUGCAGUUCGGACAUGAAGGAGAUGACUUGCGCAGCAUGACGAGGAGAUGGCAGUUCACACAGACUAAUGCCAUCAUGCUGCUGCCACUUGAGCUGCACUGUUUCUUCGUCUCUGAGCUCCCAAAGGUUGAGAUGUUAAGCUCCAACUUCAUCGACUUCUCCUCGAGCCUCACCCAACUCUUCUUCAUCGUCUUCCUGUUCAAGUAGUACAUGUUCCCCGACUGCCACAAAUCAAGGUUACAACACUGAGAUGCCAUUUAGCUGUGUGAUAUAUGAGAAGAACAGGGAGGGAGGUAGGGAGGGAGAGAGAGAGAGAGAGAGAAGGUGUUCACUUGUAAGUCCAGGCAUUGUUCCCAUUCUAAAGGGAGGGGAUGAUUGAGGUGGAGAUCAAUCCCAUGAUCCCAAGUCUGCUGCAUCUUCCUUUUCCUCUUAGCAAUCGCAUCUGAUUCCGUAGAUGCACUACUCGUGAUCUCACUCAUCAUCGAUCCAGGAAGGCCAAGCGAGAGCUCGGCAUGAUCCAUAGCCUCACUCCCCCUCACCUGCUUCUUCCUCCUGGAAGAACUCUUUCUCGAGCUGUACGCACUCUUUCAUGUACUAAGUCUGCCACAAGGCAUAUUUAUAUACAUGUCCGCAUGAUAAGCCAUGAGCCAUCCAUCACUGACAAGUGGGGAGAGAGAGAGAGAGAGGUUGAGCAAAACAAGGAGGCUGGGAAGGCUUUCAAUUCAUUGAUGGGAUCAUGAAAGGGAGGGCGUGGACAGUAAGUAGGGUUCAUAAAUGGCCUUUCAUCCAACACCCAUCAAAGGAGGACGAUUCAAUGGUGGACGAGUAGAGUGACCUUAAAUGCCUGAAAUCCCUCCCAAGACCGUACGGACGGCGUAGGGCUGGGAUCGCCUCCAAUUAUUGUACGGGCGCAGUUAUGAUGGAGGAUUCAAAUCCAGCGUAGUGGGUUGGACCCUGUACGGGCGAUAGGGAACGGGCCCCAUUGUAAUGGACGGCUAUGAUGUGGCAAUUGGAUGGUGACUUUGAAGGCGUGGUUGGAGAGGAUCUAUCCUUCCGACUUGGAGAGUUAUCUACCAUCAAAAUCUAAGUCUUUGCUAAUCUAUUUUUGGCUACUUAAAUGGUUUCCUUUCUGGUGUUGCUAAAUUCAGUACAUGAAAAAUUGCAAAUUUAAUAAUAAUAAUAAUAAUAAUAAUAAUAAUAAUAAUAAUAAUAAUAAUAAUAAUAAUAAUAAUAAUAAUAAUAAUAAUAAUAAGCUACUGGGUUAAAAGGAUACAUCUUUUAAAUGAGAUUAGGAAUUCCAAAGGGGAGAUGACAAAGCUCAAAAGAAAUAGUUAGGAAGAAAUGAGCACAAAUAGAAAUUAAGAAACAUGAGAUAAAUAUAAAAGAAAAUAGGAUUGAUUAUAUGAUUAAUUAACAAGUAGUCAGUGAAUUCUAUCAUCUUUUCUCCUCCAAUAAUUUGUUUCCUAUGUCAACAGAUGAAAUCACCUUUAGAAAAUGAACCACAGAAAAAUGCAAUUAGCAACACAUAAAUAAUUUGUUUCAUAAAAUAGGAUUAUGUUUCAAGGUGAGUAUAGUUUGAUCAAUCAAGUACAACACUAGAUAAUUUGUGAUCAUCAAUUGAAUUCUAGUUUCGAGAGGAAACAAUUGCAAGGCCAUGCAAUGAAUUCUAGAGAUUUGCGAUGGAAGAAGACCAACGACGUCCAUAAAGGAUGAAGAAAGAGGCUUUGAUAGCAAAUCUAACUACAAAUGACAAAACCGUCUCAUUUCAUGGCAGCUCUAAUGCACCUCGUGACCGUCUUCCUCCCACAACCACACCAUUAAGUGCCGUGAAUUCAUGAACUCGUUCGAGUGGGUGAGCAUUCAUGAGCAUGCAUGCAUGCUCUAACCCCUCGUAUUCUCACAAACAAUGAAAGAAACGAAAGGAGCUAUGCUUACACAAACAACAGCCUCCACCGCCUCCAUGAAAUAAAUGGCCAAAGAAGCAUAAAUAUACUCACCAAUGCCAACAACCACAAUAAAUUGGACUCUCUCUCUCUCUCUCUCUCUCUCUCUCUCUCUCUCUCUCUCUCUCUCUGGCCAUGAAGUCAUGAGGCCUUCUCUAACAUUUUUGUGUCAUAAACUCUAGUAAGUAUACGACAAGGCAUGAGAAGUCGAUAGACACUCACGUCCAUGCCACAUUGAAGGUUUUGAUGGGUCAACUUUGAGAAGCCUUUGAAUGGUUAAGGUUAUGUAAUAAUAUUAGUUCGAUUGUGAUGUACCAAAUGAACUCAUCAAAGAUGGAAACUCCAUUGCAUAGAUUUUUUGUACCAAACUCACUCGGCAAAAAUCAAAAGUUUAAGUUCUCAUUCGAUAAAUUUUAGAAGAUGUCAACUACUUUACGUAGUAAAUAAUUUUAAGUGUUGAUAAUAACACUUAUCUUUCGAUAAAUUUAUCAUUCACUAAAAAAGAAAAAAAACUUUACGAGGUUUUUCUCUUAUAUUCAAAAUAGUAGUUCCAAAGGUAAUAAUGAACAUGUAAAAUCCUAAAUAAUCCCAUUAAGAAAUGUGAGAAGAAUUGAGUUGAUUUAUAAUAUUAAACAACUCUAUUAUCAUUAACUUGACUUUAAGGUUUUUGUUAAUAGAACUAAGUUGUGUGUAUAUUUUCUCACCAUUAUGAUGAUGAUGAUUUUUCUUUGUGGAUUUGCAUGAUGAAAUUAUGAUUAUUUUGUGAGUACUACACCAAAUAGACUUGAAAAAUAAUUGUGUUAAAUAAAAAAAAUAUCAUCCUUAUAUAGUUUCUAACAUUAGAACAUUGAUUAGGGUUUCUUCCAUCAUUAGCUCAGUUUUCAACUUAGUGUUAUUAAUAAUUACAUAAUAAAAAUCAGUUGAAAAAUAUAUUAAUCGAGUUAAUUAAUUUUCAAAUCUAAGUUACUUAUUGAUUUCAAAAUUAGUCUACUAAAAAUGAAGUUAAUAUGCAAUUUUUGCCAACCAUCCUUUUGUUUCCAAAUAAGCUUUUUUUAAUGUUUUUCUUGACAUUUACAUUUCCAAUUUUAUCGUAUAAAAUAAAGACUUUUAUAUAAUUAUAUAAAGACCAAAAUACCCUCCACAUAUGUCAGUAAAUAUGAGUUCAUUGGUGUCAUUUGCUAUGAACAUCGGGCUAAAAAUGUCAUACAAAAACCCUCGACUCCAUUUAAAAGCAUGCCGGUUUCAACGGCCGUCGUUCGAGAGGACCAUGAACGUUGCCUCCGCCCACCCUCUGCAGUCCGCCCUCCUCUGCCUCCUCCGCCAGCGCAAGCGCAUCCGAUCCUUCGACCAAAUCCACGCUCUGCUCCUCACGUCCGGCGUCACCAAGGACUCCUUCGUGGCCGCCGAGGUCGCCGCCCUUCUUCCUGCUUUUGUGGAUCCUCCCGCGGCCUACUCAGCCGUCAAGCACAUCCACGGCGUCCGCCGCUACCAGUUCCCCCUGCUCUUCAACUCGUUGAUCUCCGGCUAUGCCAGGAGCAAGCACCCACACCUGGGCAUCGUCGCGUAUAAGCUUAUGCUCGCUGACAGCGUCUUUCCCGAUAGGUACACCUUCCCGAUCGUUCUGAAAUCUUGCAUCAAGUUCUUUGGGAUCGGCGAAGCCAGGCAGCUUCAAGGUGCCGCAGUUAAGCUGCGGUUCUCGUGCGAUCUGUUUGUCCAGAAUGCAUUUGUUCAUGUAUAUGCAGUGUGUGAGGAAUAUGGUGAUGCAGGUCUCCUGUUUGACGAAAUGCCCAUUAAAGACGUGGUCUCCUGGACCAGUUUGAUCUCGGGAUAUGUGAAAGGUGGAUUAUUCGGAAAAGCUCUGCAAUUGUUUUCUCUGAUGGAUGUGGAGCCGAACAUUGCAACUCUAGUUAGCAUCAUCGUCGCCUGUGGGAGAUUGGGGGCUUUGAAUGUGGGCAGGGCAAUACAUGCAUUGAUAUUGAAGCAUGACUAUGGGUUGAGUCUGGUCGCUGGAAAUGCCCUUCUGGAUAUGUACUUGAAGUGCGAGUGUUUGGAGGAGGCCAGACAGAUCUUUGAUGAACUUCCUGAAAGGGACAUAGUUUCAUGGACUAGUUUUAUUAGUGGGUUAGUGCAAUGCAAGCUUCCCAAGGAAGCUAUGGAUGUUUUCAAUUCCAUGCAGGCUUCUGGAGUGGAGCCAGACAAUGUCACUCUAUGUAGUGUUCUGUCAGCUUGUGCGAGCUUGGGGGCAUUGUCUUCUGGGAGAUGGGUCCAUGAGUACAUAGAGCGAAAGGGCAUUCAGUGGGAUGUUCAUCUAGGGACCGCAAUGGUUGACAUGUACUCUAAGUGUGGAUGCGUAGAUAUGGCAGUGCACAGCUUUCAUGAGAUGCCACAUAAGAAUGUUACCUCGUGGAAUGCAUUGCUUGGUGCCCUAGCCACUCAUGGUCAUGGUAAUGAAGCUCUCAAGUACUUCGAACAAAUGGCGGGAGUUGGUGUCAUUCCUAAUGAGGUUACCUUUGUAGCUAUUCUUUGUGCAUGUUGUCAUUCUGGCUUAGUAAAAGAGGGUUGUCAUAUGUUUGAUUUGAUGACUAAAUCCUACAAACUUGUGCCAUGGAUAGAACACUAUGGAUGCAUGGUUGAUUUGCUUGGUAGAGCUGGGUUCAUAUCAGAAGCUUAUGGACUUGUUAGAUCCAUGCCAAUUAGAGCUGACACUUAUGUAUGGGGAGCUUUACUGAGCGCUUGCAAAGCUCAUGGAAAUGUGGAACUUUCUCAAGAAAUCCUAUGCCACCUUCUUGAGCUGGAGCCUUCUGACAGCGGCGUGUAUGUGCUCCUCUCUAACAUAUUUGCUGCAGAUUGUAGGUGGGCAGAUGUAACAAGGGUGAGGAGGCUGAUGAGGCAGAGCAGUGUAAAGAAAGAAACAGGAACCAGUAUUGUCGAGGUGAAUGGUGAAGCUCAUGAGUUUAUAGUUGGAGAGUUUCUCCACCCAUUGAAGGAGGACAUUUUGCUAGCCUUGUGUACUCUAGAUAAACAAUUGCAACAUGGUGACCUAUAGCAGGGAUUCAAAACUAGUGGAAGGUUGUGCAGGCUCUCGAAAACUCUUUCCAGGUUUGACUCAAGUAACUUGCACCUUCAGCACAACAAGGGCAACAGAAGAUAAACAGAGCUCACAGUCGACUAUAUUCCGCGAAUGUAUCAUGGUUCAAGUCUGCUGAUAUAAGCAUUCAAAAGAAAGAAGAUAAGCACAAAGUUAUGUCUACUGAAGCUGGAAGUCCUGUAAAAAAUUUAUGCAAGUGGGAGUUGAUGAGUUAUUGAAAGUUGGGCAAUCGACAUGCUGAUGUCCCAAAUAUUUGGGUAUGCAUUGCCAGGAAAGAAGGUGAGAUUUGUUUAUGAAUGUUUUAGCAGUAUAUUCAGAAAAACAAACUCUCACCAAAUUUUUCUUCCGAAAUUAUUCUAGUAUUGUCAUCAUAGUGCACAAGGCAUCGUAAACAUAAUCCAUCUAUAAUUAUCUCCAGAACUGGUAUGGUAGGUCAAUGUAACGUUUUGAUUAUUUUAUUUUGCUCCAUAUUUUUUGUAACUAUAUAUGUCUUUCCCAUUUAAGAAUUAGUUUUAUAUCUUUUUAAAUGCAAAACAUUUAAAAUUAUAGAGUCAUUUUUUGUUGAUCUGCUAUUAUGUAAAAAGCAAUUUAACUCAUAGCUGAUCUGAUCAGCAUGUGGUUGAUAUUUUGUAAAGCCCUUCUAAUUUUUGGAAUCUCGAAUCUUUCACUUGGUAUUGCUAAUGAACUUCGGGAUCCAUAGUGAAGUUCUCAGCAGAGCCUAUAAUGCUUUAGGUUUUUAUUUUGACACAUCCAUUUUCAAGCCCAAUGGAGUAUGAAACUGAGCCUUGUCUUAUUCGAUCAAUUUUCUGUUAACAUGUUAAUCGUAUACAGUGGAACGUGGUCUUAUAUGUAUUUUUUUCUUGAAACAUGUUAUGUAUAUAAUUAAUUUUCAAAGAAUGCAAUUUCAUUUUUGACUCUUUUUAUUUGGAUUGGAUUUGAUACUCUAGUUGCUAAAUGUUUGCAAAAAUCUUCUAACAGCAGUUAUGGUUAUCAGGCAAUUCCACGUACUAACGCUAUGUUUCUUGAUAUAUGCCUGGACUUUUCCAUGUGGUAUAAGUGAAGGACUUUUGUUUAAGCCAAAUAGCAUUAUGCUUGGUAUAAACAUGACAUUUCACCAUCAAAAUGCAAAUACAAAAUUUACCAGGUAGGAUGAUAAAACAGACUUGUAAACAUAGGAAAAUUUUGUAGUACGCAUCUUAUCAUGCAUAGUAUCAUAUGUCAUCAUGAAAAUUCAGCUUUUUGCAUGGCUCCACCAUAAGUCUCCCCUAAUGAGUAUUGACUUACUCUCAAACAAUUGCAGUCAUCACGUCCAUCCACUGACAGCUUGGUACCUUUCAAUCAAGAAAAGAUUCAUGAGUCCUUGUACAUGAAUUUAAUCAUAGCUUGUUUUAUUUCUUAACACAAACAUUACAAAAUGCCAACAAAUGGAGUUGACACUAAUUUGUAUGUUUUGUCAAAGCCACAAUUUUUCUUGAUUAAGUUUUUUCUGCUUCCUUCCUAUCUAAGGUUCCACAUUUGAACAAUUAAAGAUUAGAGCUUAGAUGUCGCCCUCUUGACAUUAGAAAGUUAAUGCUAUUCUACAGAAAUAUUUGUAGAAAAUAAUUUGUGGCUUCCAAAUUUAAAGAAUCUUAAGUAGAAUGAACAAACUUAUUUUGUCAUCAUAAACAAUAUAUUGGGAUUUAAGUAAUCGCUCGUGGAUGAUAUUUCAGGAUGCAGUACUAUAAGGGCAUGAUGUACAAGUAUGUAUGGUAAUUGAUGUCUCAUGGACGAUAUAUUUCAGGAUGCAGUGCUAUAAGGGCAUGAUGUACAAGUAUACAAGGCAAUUGAUGUUUUUAUAUUCUUCUUACAGGAAUAAGCAAGGUAGGUUAAGAUUGUCAUGGAAGAAAUGUGAAUCAUAUUCUAUUUAUUGAUCGAAGAGCUAGGCCUUGUACACGUUUUAAAAUCCUGAUCUAGUUUCCCUACACUAUUACCUUUCAGGGUUGAACAACCUACAAAUUGUUUUAUUGAGGCCAAGAAAGAGGUAAUGAUGGAGGCAUUGGGAAAUAAUGGAUAAUUCUAUGUUCACAGACUUUGGUCAUGAAACUAAGCCGCAGCCUGCUCAUGUUGUCCUAGGCUUAUGCACCGCUCAUAGUUUCUGAACCAUAAUUCAUGUCUGACAUUUGGCAAACAGUGUUUGGUAUCAACAGGAUGCUUUUGCAUUUUACUCUUUUAGAGGAUCUAGGUAGAUGCUGUUGCAUUUGUGUACUCUUUAGUGAGUUUAGGUAGAUGCUUUUGCAUUUGUGUUCUUUAUAGGAUCUGGAUAUGCACAAAGCACAUCCCAAUUUGGAAAGCACAGUGCAAUUCCAAAUGAUGGUUCCCUGGACAUUGAGUCAGGCACUAUAUAUAUAUCUGGUGAGCUAAGUUAGAUAAUUUGCAUGAGUUAGUUGAACCCUAUUAUUGUUCUGAUGUACCUUCUUCCACCACAUCCAUUCUCCCUCUGGCAGUUGAAGAACAUCGCAGCUACAGGAUCCCCUAGGUUGUAAACUGCUGCAAAAUCCCUUGUGCUGAAGUUUUGUCUCCAUCCAGGCGCAUAGAUGGUUUGGCGGACGGACUGCCGGAACAACACAAACACGAACCGGUGGAUUCCAGCGGUCGGCCGUGGACUCUCAUAGGAGACAAUUUCGUUGCCUAAAACACAAGAUCAGAAUUCAGAACAAUUUUUAUUGGUAAAAGAUGACAGAUUUAUACUCAGUGAGCUUGAUUCUUGGGCUUUGAAAUAUUUAUCUCUAACUUGCUCAGUAAGAAUUUUAGUUUUCGUCGACAGGUUUUGAAUGUUUAGUAUGUGAACUUACGAGGCAUGAAACAGCUAGUUAACAAAGUUGUCAUGAAGCUAAGGAAGCCAGAUAGCUUGACAAGAUAAUAUACCAGCAAUGCAUCGCAACCACAGAUCUGUUGCAAUUUUGAGUUAAUUGCUAUGGAAGUCUAAUUCCUCAUCAAGUCUUUAGGCAGAGGAGAUCAUGGGCAUGUUUCACUUCUUGGUCACUGAUCAACAAGUCUUUAGCAUGGACAGGUGCUGAAACUCUUCCCUAUUUUUAGUAAAUUUUGUAGACCAAGAAAAAUCUGUGGUCUUAUUUUCUGACGAUUUCUGAUACAUUUUCAAUUACUUAUAACCUUGAAAAGGCAACAACAGCAAUCAGUAGUAGUGUCCUAAGUAUCUGAGAUAGAUUACAUGGGUUUUUCCUGUCAUCGGGCAGAGGAAGAAAGAUAGCUUAAAAAGGAUGAUGGAUCCUUGAUUAUGAGCCACAAACUUUUUCAAUUAAUCUCCUUUCGUAGGAAUAUAUAUUGCAAGAAGUUUUUACAAAAUCCUUGAAAUUUAUCCGAAGAAGCUUAAUCGAAUUACACAUAGGCUUUCUUUUUUGCGUUACAAUGCUAUGAUUGUAGUUUUCUAUUGUUUCCAUUUAAAAGCUCCUCUUUAUUAUUGCAGGUACUUUAUUCCGAGAUUGAUAACAUGCUAAUUUCAACCGGUGGUCCAUUUAGUCACAAAUAAAUACUUUGCAUAUGAACAUUGUGUUUUCCGCAGAAAAAAAAUGUAUGAUUUAUGAGGUCUGCAUAUAAAUGCAUGUCUUGUAAGAAAAAAUUCAUGGUGGUUUGUUGUCACUCACCAUAAGUGGCGUUUGUUGUCUCUGGGAUGUCUGUCACCAACCUAUCUCAGACGACAAAGAAAAAAACAAAGGAUUACUAGCAGCUGCUAAUGUUCCUCAAUUGGAUGAAGAAGAAGAAAAAAAAAGUGGGGGAUUACUUCCAGAUUUCUUGCAAGUUGAUCUUACCAGUGCAGGUACUCUCUCUUUGUUGGAUUGCUAGGGCUUGGUGCAUCAGGAUCCACCAUCACCUGUAAGACUAGUAUUCAAUGUUAGCAUCUGCAAACUCUCUAAACCUUAUUUGACAUGAAGAAGAAGAAGAAGAAGUAAUCAAUCAUCAAUCCAAAUUCUUCUUUCUGCUAGUAGUGCAGCAUAGAAUCCUAAUUAUUAUUCUGAGUUAUCAAUUCUGACCAAAUUGGAUGUUAUUCUUUUAUCAUCUCACAUGGAUUGACCAUUGAAAAGAAUAAUUCACUGCCUCUGGAUGUUCUUCUUCUAUGUUUCUGGCUGUAAUGGGAUGAUCUUUUGCUCCUCUCGUCAACAAAGCUGAAAAGAUGAGGAGUUUGGUUCUCAUCAUCAUCCAAAGGCUAAAAGGACGGCCAAGCUAAAAGAACAAAAAGUCAAAACAGUCUUAUCAUCAAAAGACUGCAGAAAAAAGCUUCAACAUUCUCUCCACUUGUGUCCUUUGUUCUGCCACUAGCGGACAAACCUACCUCCAGUUUUGGCCUAUUCUAACGUUUGUUCCCAUUGGAUUAGAUUGCGGUGGGAUGAGACUCUUGCAGCCAACUCAAAUCUUUGACUUCCCAUCGUUGUUCAUUGUUCGACUCAGAAGAUUUAAGUCAACUAACGGUAAAUCUAACGGUAAAUCUAACAAGUGGAGGUGACGAUACUCACAAGCGUGUAAAGGUUUCUCGUGUUGUGUCCUCGCAUCUCCACUCGCGGUUCGGUGGCCACCAUCGAGGGCUUGAGCUCGGACCCAUUCGUCAAUUCCUUGUUGUAGGUUAUCUUCAUCGUCGCGGACUUGACGAAUGGGUCCAACACGUCACCCACGACAUUACCAACGACGAGGGCGUCCCUCGACAUGAUCGACCACAGCAGAAGAGAGCUUCUCGGUAAGUCGGUAACCAAAGCCGAGGAGAUCGAUGGCAAUGGUGGUGGAGGGGGGGGUGGGAGGGGAUUGGUUAUAUAGAAACCUCAUCAUGGUCGCGGAAUCCAUUUGUGAUGGAUUCUGAAGGUGAAUAAAAUCUUGAGCGAGUGACGCAUGGCAACGAGGAAAGGUGGAUGGAUUGCCUUUUGACUUGGCUUGCUCUAAAUGUCUCCCCCGCAAAUCCGGCCACGACGGCAUCACUGGAUUUGGCCCCCGUGCUUCGAAUAAGGAGAGUUGUAAGCUCGCGGGGCAAGUAAGAACCUAAUGGCUUUUGCUUUCGCGGAUGCUUUGGACCCCAACGAGUCUUCGGAGGUGUGGAGAUCAUGGCGAAUGACUUCAUGUCAUGGCAUCCAAGUUUCAUUCUUCUUCCUCUUGGCGGCAGCACUUGUAGCUUAGCUAAGUGUGAUUUGACAAUGGUGUUGCGUAGAGAGAGAGAGAGAGAGAGUGAAUGAACAUGUAUUUGAUACUGUCGGCAACAUGUACUCACUCUUCUGAAUAGAUUCUUCAUGAGAAGAUUGUUGAGCUCAAGAAUAGGCAGGCUGGGUGGUCAACAAGAUGCUUUGCUGGUUAUAUUCUCCUAGCAACCUCUUUUCUAAAUGCUGCAUCGAUCUUUUGCUGAAGCUGAAUCCAUAUCUUGCCUGCACUGAAGUGUAAGUGUAUCUGAGAGACUGAGACCGUUCACCAUUAAAUGGAAGGAAGAAUGAUAUCCACACGAGAGAGAGAGAGAGAGAGAGAGAGAGAGAGAGAGAGAGAGAGAGAGAGAGAUCAUGGUUUGGUCAUCAUCCUAAGAUGCUUGGAAAUUGUGGGCAUGCCUUUAGGACCCUUUCUCCAUGCUUGCUUUCUCAAUAUGCUCUCUGCCAAUGGAUGCUUCUUGGAAACUGCAUUCUCUUGAACUGGGAGAUUGUUUUGUUCACUCUCAUGUGGCUUAAUAAGCUCAUAAGCAAGUUGAUUUAUAGAUCAUCUGCCGACACAUUAUUCGCGGUAUAGGUUUCAUGUAUCAGUUCAAGUUAGAAUCUUCAAAUAUAUUCAUGAUUUAUAUGUUGUUUGUGAUUGGUGUCACCUCUCCUUGUUCAACAUGCAUUGGGCAUGUGGUCAGUGUAGUCCAAAAUUUAAUACAAGAUGGAAUGGAUUAGAAUCUACAGCUAGAAGAAACUUAUGAGCCAUACCAUACUUCAAGAAUAGAUCAUGAAGUGGAAAAAGGAGAGUGUCUGCAGUAAUAUGGAAGGAGAAAAUAGCAUCUUGUACAAACAAGUAAAGUUCUUCAUACCUCUGAGCAACUGUGGAGUGAGAAGAAGAAGAGGACAAUCGAGUCAUACAAUGAAUGUUUGCCAAUUGAAGAAAGCCAAAAAAGUAGGUCUGAGCAUUUUGAAUAAGGUUGGGUUCUCCUUUUCUUCUUAUCUUCGUUUCAAAGCUAAAAAGUAUUGGAACCAAGAUAUGCAAUGAAAGCAUUCUAGAACCACUCCCUGUCACCAAUAUAUUCUCAUUUUGUUCAUCUCAGGCUUAAAUAAGCAUGACUUGAAUCAUAUGGCAGUGGCAGUGUUGUUUCCUAUCAAAGACAUCAAAAAAAGAAAGAUUGCAACAGUUCCAUUGAAUAGAAGACAAGGUUGCAGGGGAUCAGUCAUGUAUCAAGGUGAGGCAUUUAGACUGUUCACAUGUGGUACAAUAACCAUUUGGUGCUGCCUUUUGACUUCCCACUCAAAUAGAACAUCUGAUGACUGGGCUUCAUCAGAUGCAACUGGAUUGGCCUCUGCUGAACAGAUCUGAAUAAAUGAUACAUUCAAGAAGAUGCUGUCCAAGAUUUGGUUGUCCAAGUUCAGAGUAACAAGUUUAAGUCUGCUGUUAUAUUUGGAGUUUCAUACCCAGGAAGAGGUUGAUUCUGUGCUUAGUUUACAUCAGUACAUGUACCUGGAUAAAAAGAUAUUAUAUGAAUGCAAGUAAAGGAAAAAAGAAUCCAACAUCUAACUUUCCAUGGACUCUAAAGUAAACAAAGUGAUCCAGAACAAAGGGAAGGUGAUUGCAUGGGCAUCUCUUAUAGGUAUUGUGAAGCUGACAACAGUCAAAAUGAUAGAAAAGACUGAAACAAUCAACUGAAGCCUUAACCUGCAGCUGAGAAUCUCAGUGACUUGUUCUAUCUAGCUUUCCCAAUCUAGAUUAUACACAGUUGAUAAGGAUUAGUGGUUCUUUGCAUGUACCUAUAACUAGAUCUAAUAGAUAUUCCAUGUCGACUCCAUAAUCACUGUUUAAUCAUUGUUUCACAAGGUAAAUCUCAGUUAGCAUGUCAAGAUCAUACUAUUCCAAGUAUUUAGUUAAUGAAAACCUGGUUUUAUUAUUCACCUGACAAAGUUUUGAUUUCUCAACACCCAUUCUAUUUGAGUCUACAAGCAGCAACAAUAUGAAAAUAGACAAAUACUGCAUAUAGAACAUGAUAAUAUCUAACAGAUUUACCUAACGUUCCCAUUUCCCCAGUCACAGAAAACCAGUAAUGAUGUGCAAAUCCUAGCUAUGAUAUGAUGCCUGGAUAUUCCCAAGAUGAUAUGCAAAGGCAGUAUUCUAUUGGACUUUGUGAUCCAACCAUAUACUCCCAUCCACAGGUUCCCUUGUCAGGGAACAAAGUUCCCAAUUGCAAUAUACAGGUGCCAUUAGGAAAGUUGACAUAUUCUCAGAGAACAUUACUCCACCUAGAAGUUAUAAAAUCACAUCCAUCAAACUCAUUUAGGCAUCAGAUGAUGGCUCUCCAAAUGCAUAUCAAUACACCAAAAGGUAAUCUUCUGUUUAUUCUGUACAAAUAAACAGAAGAUUACAGUGAUCACUUGAGCCAGUCUAAAACAUUUUCUUGCUCACACUUUACCAGUUAUCAAUGAGUUAACAGUCAGCAAGUUUCAUUUGCAUGUAUACUUUAGCAGAUGCCUGCUUGGAUAGAUAUAAAUAUGAGCUUCUUUAGCAGAUACCUGUUUGGAUUAAUCGAUAAAUCGAAUUGCCUACACUUCGAAUUGGCACAAAUUUGGCACAAUCCUCAAGAAGUUUACAUGUCAAGUUGACAACUAACCAAAAUAUUUGACAAAUAGUCACAGAGCCUUCUUGAUUAAACUAAUAAUGAGUAGAACCAAAUGAUCUAAAGAUGGUUUCUUUUCCUCUCACUUAAAAUGUUGACCAGCAAAGUAAAAUUUUGAACCAAAAUCUAAAGCCACAGCAGAACCAAAACAAGAAAUAAAAAACUUACCCAUAUUUCAGAUCAACAAAACAAUGAGAAAACUUAAUUUUCUCAUCAAUAUAUACUGAUCAAACAAUCUUGAUUAAUUUUCAAUACCUUGAGCUGGGUUUUGUUGAUUGGCAUGGACCAAAUGGACUGAUUUGAUGUAUCGUCCAAUUGAGAGAAAAAUGACAUGAUCCCACAACACACACAUCUCCCGCAGAACAGGAAUCAAAAGGAGUCCCUCCUCCAAAACAAAAUAACUUGGAAGCUCUCAAUUUGGUUGGAGUGGAAAAGAAAGUGGAAUUGCUUCUCCAUCAUACUUGCUGUUGAUGCACAGAACUCUUAAGGACAACUGCAAAUAACACCAAGGUCCCAGAAGUGUUAGCUAAACAUGUUGAUCAGGCCUUUUGCUUCUCAUAACUGGGAGGGAAAAAAGAAAACAAAAACCCACACACACGACCUACAUAAAAUUGGAGCAUAUUCAAGUCAACCUAACCCAUACCUCUUCCACAAUUAUGAGAACUAGAUAAGCCAUCUCUCAACACUAAGACCACGGAUUCACAAAUUAAUAAAGUAGACUAUCCAUUAGAAAAUAGUAAUGUAUUUAUUAGAUGUCAAUGCAAUUCUAAGAUCAUUUUUCCAUGUCAAACAGCCACACGACAAUCUUAAAGCAACAACACAAAAAAAAGAAAUCCAAGAAACUAAGAAGGAAAAAAAAAACUUUAUACAAGCGGAUAUAAAUCCAAGCUUUUCCAUUCCAAUCUCUAGCAUGUGAUGAGGCCCGAAAGGUCAGUUACCCAAAUGUAAAUAAAUUGGAUUGCUAGAGAACAAAAUGUGCUGUCCGGAAUUCCAUAAGCAGCUAGGUGCCUAAAAUCUCAAUCUGCAGUUUCUUUGCGAUGGGGCUAACCACAACUGAAGACAUGGCACAGGGCAAUAUAAAAGCUGCAGUUAUUUGAAAGAUCUAAAACAGUGGCCACAGGUAACCAAGAGAUAUCAAUCCUUCUUUUCUGUGCUCUCAUUUUCUCAAAUUGUACAUCAGAGACUGGAAAGGUUCCCGUAUCUUAGUACCAUGCCUCUCUCACUGCCUGGGAUGCUUGGUGCAAACUCUGAAGCCCACGACCCAAUGACGCAAUCAUCGGAAUAGAGGGCAAUGCCUCAGCAGCACACUCAAUCCCAUCUCCAUAAGCCAGAAGUGCAGAGCAAGCAACCAUGCUGCUACCGAAGGUAGCCAAUGACGCAAACCUCACUGGCCGGACACCCCUCCUCCUCAUAAUCUCGUAGAAUGAUGUCCUCAUAGCCAACAAGCUUGUUCUCUCAGCUGAUGCUAUCAUAGUGUGUGUCAUAGCACGAAUUUUUUCAGCUGAUGCUGUGAACUUCAAGGUGGAGGUCUUGGCUCCAGCACUUGUAAGCCCAUGUGUAAGAAAAUGUGAUGAGCCAAGGAUAUUACCAAGUCCAAUAGUAGCUGUCCUUUGCAACUGUGCCAAGCUGAGUUUCAAAAUAGCAGGAAUUUUGUAUGUUGCAAGCUUAACAAUUGUAGAUGCAGGAACAACUUUUGAUAGUGAUGAUGCACCAAGAACUGCUGUAGCUCCUGCACCAAUUGUUACCACAGGCCUUUCUGCUAAAAGGCCCUUUCUUUUCAUGUUCUCAACUACCUUUUCAUCAUUUGCAUCAGGAUCAUCAUCAUGAUAUUUCGUAAAACAUGUAUCAGUUGACUCUGCAACAUUGAGGGGUACAGAUGUAUUCCAGUGCCUCCUGAGACCAGCCAAGCAACCCGCAUCAACUAUGGCCACCACAGAUCCAAACUUCUUUGCUUGGCUCCUAAGAGCUUGCACAAAAAGAACAUGGGAUUUCUCUUCAGAAGGGAGCUCAAAAAACUCUAUUUCUGUUGAGUUGCUUUUUUUUGUUCUUUCCAUCGGAAAACGGGCAGAAUUGUUUAAAGCUAUCCUUAAACCCUCGACUGCAAUCCUGAAAAUAUAUACACUGGAUAAAGUUUGAGUAUUAACUGGCUUUCCAUCAUUGAUAUCAGCAAGCAUUCUCUGAACAGAAACCAGAGCUUUUCCGAUUGAUGGAAGUUCAAUGAAUAUGUCAUGUAGAUCUGUGAGUAAAGGAUAAAAAGAUUGUGCAAACAGAGGCACUUUAUAAUUAAAAUUUGGCUCAUCUUUUAUAGGUACCACUUUGGAUUUUGGGUCAGGUUGAACUUCUUUUGAGAUUAUUAGAUCAAGAAAUGGAAUCACUGACUUAAUCAUCUCUGACUUAAGUGUGUCAUCUACACAGAUUCUUUUCGAACUUGAGCAGAGAGCUGAAGUAACUUUUCCAGGAAGCAAGCCACUUGUUUGUAUGUGCAACCCUGAGCCCUGACCUCCAUCUUUAUCAUUGUCUUGAUUAGUUCCAGCAUAUCGUUUGUCAUAUGGUGACUCAAGUAAUAUAAAAUGUGAAUCUGUCUCUUCUGCAGCUCUCUUUGCAGCCAAGAAAUGGCCAUAAAACCCAACUCCAAAUAUCUCUUGUAAGACCUGACACCCAGCAAAACUUUCAUAAUGAUCUUUGUUGAUUUUUUCUAUGAAACAUCUUUUAAGCACCCCAAAUGAUGAAGUCGGCACAUUGUCUACUCGAUCAUUUUUUAAGCACUUCUCCUC